rnacentral:rRNA from 1 species
CCUGGCUCAGAGUGAACGCUAGUGAUAUGCCUAACACAUGCGAGUUUUAAUUUAUAUGAAAAUUUCAUAUUAAUAGCGUACGGGUGAGUAAUACAUAAGAAUUUACUUCGUAUUUUAGAAAUUAAAAUCUAUAAAGAUUAUAUUGGAUUAAUAUUAAAUAUAAUUUGAAAAUUUAAUUUGGUACGUAAUUAGCUUAUGGAGAAUUAGAUAGUUGGUGAGGUAAAAGCUUACCUAGUCUACAAUUCUUAGCUGGUCUUAGCGGAUGAUCAGCCACAUUGGGACUGAAACAUGGCCCAAGCUCUUUUGGAGGCAGCAGUGAGGAAUAUUGGACAAUGAACGAAAGUUUGAUCCAGCAAUAUCACGUGAAUGAAGAAGGUUUAUUUUAUUGUAAAGUUCUUUCGACGAGGAAGAUAAUGACAUUACUCGUAAAAGAAGUACCCGACUAACCUCGUGCCAGCAGUCGCGGUAAUACGGGGGGGGCAAGCGUUACUCUACGUUACUGGGU